AGCGCAGGCGGGAAGACAAGUUGGAAGUGAAAUCUAUGGGCUCAACCCAUAAACUGCUUUCAAAACUGUUUUUCUUGAGUAGUGCAGAGGUAGGCGGAAUUCCCGGGUGUAGCGGUGGAAUGCGUAGAUAUCGGGAGGAACACCAGUGGCGAAGGCGGCCUACUGGGCACCAACUGACGCUGAGGCUCGAAAGUGUGGGUAGCAAACA
rnacentral:rRNA from 1 species